CCUACGGGCGGCAGCAGUGGGGAAUAUUGCACAAUGGGGGAAACCCUGAUGCAGCGACGCCGCGUGAGUGAAGAAGUAAUUCGUUAUGUAAAGCUCUAUCAGCAGGGAAGAAAAUGACGGUACCUGAGUAAUAAGCCCCGGCUAACUACGUGCCAGCAGCCGCGGUAAUACGUAGGGGGCAAGCGUUAUCCGGAUUUACUGGGUGUAAAGGGAGCGUAGACGGCAGUGCAAGUCUGGAGUGAAAGGCGGGGGCCAAACCCCCGGACUGCUCUGGAAACUGUACGGCUGGAGUGCAGGAGAGGUAAGUGGAAUUCCUAGUGUAGCGGUGAAAGGCGUAGAUAUUAGGAGGAACACCAGUGGCGAAGGCGGCUUACUGGAAUGUAACUGACGUUGAGGCUCGAAAGCGUGGGGAGCAAACAGGAUUAGAUACCCCAGUAGUC
rnacentral:rRNA from 1 species